UACAGAGGGUGCAAGCGUUGUUCGGAAUUACUGGGCGUAAAGCGCACGUAGGUGGCGACGUAAGUCGGGUGUGAAAGCCCCGGGCUCAACCUGGGAAUUGCAUUCGAGACUGCAUUGCUGGAGUACGGAAGAGGAAGGCGGAAUUCCCGGUGUAGCGGUGAAAUGCGUAGAUAUCGGGAGGAACAUCAGUGGCGAAGGCGGCCUUCUGGUCCAGUACUGACACUCAAGUGCGAAAGCGUGGGGAGCAAACAGG
rnacentral:rRNA from 1 species